rnacentral:lncRNA from 1 species
UGAGUAAAGUAAACUGACCUCCAUCUUCCCCAGCAGAAGGCCUCAUGCCUACAUGGCCCAUUAAUGCCGCCGCAGAGGGGCUGAACGUCAGCCAGGCUGUAGGAUACCAAACAUCUGGAUCCUGAGGACGCUUCAAGGGCCGCUGCUGGAGGGCAAGUGUCAGGACUUGGGGAAAAGGACACUACAGCCCUGUCAAUGACCCAAGACUUUGCCUAGCACUCACACCAAAUUGCUCCUGAAACAAAGUGGGUCUGCCUGGAGAAGGGCGGCUGCACUCGGGGGACUAGGGCACCAGUGCCCUGGGCACGUCUGCCACGACGCCCAUUUGCCACUUUGAGAGGCCCUGCUGAUGCUUGGGCUGCGGGUGAUUCAACUCCUCCAAGGCCAAGCUCGGACUCCUCCUUCACGAGGCCUGAACAGCUCGGGGCUCUAGCCUGGAUCUGGGCUGGGCGAAAUAAGACUUCCCUGACCCAGCCCUCCUGGCCUCAGGGCCAGAUGACCCUCCUGCAAUCUGCAAGCUCUCUGGCUCAGAGCUCUUGGAAUCCUUGUGUCCCCUAAGGCCCAUUUCUCCCUACUCCACUUGGCUUCUCUAAAACGUGAUGGUGUGGUGACAAAAAUCAGCUCCCUGUCCUUUUCCUUUGCUGAACACUACUGUGUACAUCUAGAAGAAUCCAUCUGCUCCCUCCUCCCAGAAAGGAAAGAGCAUUAGUAAGGAUAGGAUAUGUUAUAUUGCAGUAACAAACCUCAAAUCUCAGUGGUUUAAAGCAAGAAAGAUUUAUUCCUCACUCAGACUCCAAUGUCCAUUGUGGGUUGGCUGGGGGCCUGUCUGCAUUGUCCUUCCAUAGGAUCCAGGCUGAUGGAGCAGCCUCUUUGGAGCAGCACUGGUGCCUGUGACAGAGGGAAAGAGCUCUGGAGGGCUUCACACGGACACAGAAAUGCUCCAGCCUGGAAGUGACACACAUCCCAUGGUCCACCAGCCACAAGGGGACCGGGAAGCGUGUUCAGACAGGAGAAGGGUACAAAUAUAAACCACAAGAUUUGCAGUGGGGCUAAGCAAGGACACAUUUCCAAAAGGGUGAGGAGCUGGGGUUUCAGGUGGGUGGUCAGAAGUCAACAGGUACCCAGGAAGGUUUACUCUCCAAUCGCUGCUUCAUUCAACACUCAUGACUUUGGAGCUAGACUGUCCUGCUUGAAGUUAGAAUGCUGCCAUGAGCUAGAUGUGUGACUUUGGGCAAAUCGCUUAGCUACUCUAAGCCUCAGUUUCCUCAUCUAUAAAAUGGGGGCAAUAGCAUCCAAGAUGCCACAGCCAGUAAGUGCCAGG